rnacentral:rRNA from 1 species
GGGUCAGUAGGUUGGUCGUGCCACCGGUACGUACUGGUCUCACUGAUUCCUCCUUCCUGAAGAACCGUAAUGCCAUUAAUUUGGUGUUGCGGGGAAACAGGACUGUUACUUUGAAAAAAUUAGAGUGUUUAAAGCAAGCUAACGCUUGAAUACAUUAGUAUGGAAUAAUGAAAUAGGACGAUCGAUCCUAUUUUGUCGGUUUCUAGGAUUGACGUA